rnacentral:rRNA from 1 species
ACGCUAGCUACAGGCUUAACACAUGCAAGUCGAGGGGAAACGGCAUUAAGUGCUUGCACUUUUUGGACGUCGACCGGCGCACGGGUGAGUAACGCGUAUCCAACCUUCCCAUGACUGAGGGAUAACCUGCCGAAAGGCAGACUAAUACCUUAUGGUCUUCACUGACGGCAUCAGAUGUGAAGUAAAGAUUUAUCGGUUAUGGAUGGGGAUGCGUCUGAUUAGCUUGUUGGCGGGGUAACGGCCCACCAAGGCAACGAUCAGUAGGGGUUCUGAGAGGAAGGUCCCCCACAUUGGAACUGAGACACGGUCCAAACUCCUACGGGAGGCAGCAGUGAGGAAUAUUGGUCAAUGGGCGAGAGCCUGAACCAGCCAAGUAGCGUGCAGGAUGACGGCCCUAUGGGUUGUAAACUGCUUUUGUAUGGGGAUAAAGUCAGUCACGUGUGAUUGUUUGCAGGUACCAUACGAAUAAGGACCGGCUAAUUCCGUGCCAGCAGCCGCGGUAAUACGGAAGGUCCGGGCGUUAUCCGGAUUUAUUGGGUUUAAAGGGAGCGUAGGCUGGAGAUUAAGUGUGUUGUGAAAUGUAGACGCUCAACGUCUGACUUGCAGCGCAUACUGGUUUCCUUGAGUACGCACAACGUUGGCGGAAUUCGUCGUGUAGCGGUGAAAUGCUUAGAUAUGACGAAGAACUCCGAUUGCGAAGGCAGCUGACGGGAGCGCAACUGACGCUGAAGCUCGAAGGUGCGGGUAUCGAACAGGAUUAGAUACCCUGGUAGUCCGCACAGUAAACGAUGGAUGCCCGCUGUUGGUACUUGGUAUCAGCGGCUAAGCGAAAGCAUUAAGCAUCCCACCUGGGGAGUACGCCGGCAACGGUGAAACUCAAAGGAAUUGACGGGGGCCCGCACAAGCGGAGGAACAUGUGG